rnacentral:tRNA from 2 species
AGCUAUGUAGUUCAGUUGGUUAGAACACAGUAUUCAUAAUGCUGAAGUCACAGGUUCAAUUCCUGUCAUAGCUA